CUCCGUCCUAAAGCCCUCUUUCUCAGCUUGCCACAAUAAAGUAGCAUGAGGUUUUAAGGCUUUGCUGGGUCACCGGCCAUCUCCUAUUAUUCUACACUUCACAACAACAACACACACACACACAAUCCAGCCCCCCCCCCCCGUUAAUCAGCACUGACCAGAGGCCCCUUUUGGAAACAAGAGGAGCAGAGUUGAAGAAAGACUCUCUCUCUCUCUCUCUCUCUCUCUCUCUCUCUCUCUCUCUCUCACACACACACACACACACACACACACACACACACCCUCAACAGGCCCUCCUGAAAGCAAGAUCUCCCAUUGGCACUUUGGACCAAAGUUUUCCACCCCCCUUUCCUUUUAUCAUAACAAAGCUUCCAACUCAGACCACAAGAGAACUGGACUUUUCUCCCCCUGUUUCUGGCCUUCUCAUUCUUUCUCUCUCUUCCCUUGGCUCUGAAGAUGAUGGAGACUUUGUUGCAAGUAAGGAUGCCUUUAGGUCAAAUGGCCCAGGCCUAGCUGGGAGCUGAGAUUGAUCCUGGAAGGGAAAGCUGCUUCCUGAGCAUCUACUUUGGAGAAAUAGAAGUGGAUUAACAGGCUUUAACUUCACCGUUUGAAAGGAAACAUGUGUCUUUGCACAGGGUAAAAGUAGCUCUUUGUCUCCAAAUGAUGAAGCAAACAACCAAAAGAGAAAUCACCCACCAAAGCAUACAGCAAGAAAUAUUUUGCAUAAAUACACACGUCUCCAGAGAGAAUGAAAGGAAAAGAUGUCUUAAAAAUUAUGGUGAUUUAAUUUUAUUUUGCCCAAGAAUGACAUUCUCCUGAGUAUUUGUGAAAAUGAAGAUGAAUAUGCAGGGAUCCAUUUGGUUGCUUUUGCGCCAGAUGGCCAGUUGCAGAAGCUGAACUAAGCUGAACUGAUUGAUUCAUUUUUGCCAUAUUGCACGCUGGCAUUUACCAGGGUUCACAUAAUUCAAGUACUAACAUUUUUGGUGCUUUUUCACUUCCUAAUUCACCCCCCCCUUAGUUCCUUAACCCAAAAGGAAAUAAGUAAUUUUCCCAAGUAAACUGUUUCUAUCUCCCCUUCCCCAUGUGUCAUAAUAGAGAUUUAAUAAUAGAAGAACUAAUGAAACAUGAUAAGAGACCAAAUACAAGAGACAAAGUUGCAUGUAGCAUGUUGUGACCAAGCCUUCUGCUAAAGAAGUUGAACUCAGGACCCCUGAAGAACUCGGUAGAAAUAAGGUCAAACUUAGGCUGAGAGUAAAAAUAAAAAUGUAAUUAAUAGAAAAAAUGUAUUCAGCUUUACUUUUACUUUUGAAACGUUAUGGCCAUGAUUCAGAUAACAGAAUUAUGGUGGCAUAAAUAGCAUAAUGCAUAACUUGGUUUUCUCUUACAUGCAGCUACCAUGCCAGAUGUGAGGGGAGCCUUCUCUGAGGUGGCUCCCAGAUUAUGGGAUGACCUCCCCUCUGAUGCACAUCUUGCAGCAACAUUGUCUGCUUUUCAACAAUUAGAAUUAAGAAACAGGGUGUCUCCGAGUGCACAGUCAGCCCAUAUGGUUCUUGUGCCAGAAUGCAUCUCAUUCUAUGAAUAAAGCUACUUUUGGUUUUCUCCCAAGCUUUCUUUAUUAGGGAAGCCUAAUUUAUAAAGAAAAUAUCUUAUCGUUCUUGCUGUUUUUCAACAAUUGGCAGCUGGAAAUCCUUGACAAGCUCUGCAGAUCAUCGGAUCUCCCAGUAGAUCUGGGUCUACCUUCUGCCUGCCCAUGCCUUAGGCAAGACAUUGCUGCUCAGCUACUGCCUCCCUGCCUCCCUUGCAAUACGUGGAGAACAGAGUUUAUUUGUUCAAGGUUAUUUGUAUGGAUUAUUAGAAUAAAAUGGAUGAAUUGCUUUGUAUACUCUAAAGUGAAAUGGUUUAAGGCUGAAGUGCAAAUGAACUUUAUCCAUUGGAAGCUUCCCAAUUCUAGGUUGGGGAUGAUGAAGCUAUGGGCCUCUGGGAGGUUGCUGGACUCCAGAUCCCAUCUGCUCUAACCAGUAUGGUCAAUGGUCAAUGACGAUGGGAGCUGCUACCUGACACGGUUUUCUCCAAGGACACCCAAGAACUCUAGAUUUGACAAUGCUGAGAAUUUUCCGCAGCAGAUAAUUUGUCUUUUCAUAGAACUGUAGUUUAUUUGGACUGAACAGUUAUUUAGACCCAGGGAAGAGCCAAUGCAGUUGAAACUAGUUUAGUUUAGCAAUAAGGAAAGAUUCAUUUCAGGGUUGGGGUUAAGCAUGAGGCUGGUUUCGUCACUACAUUGAACUAGCCCUGUGAAUCAGCCUGUCAAGCUCAUGAAAAUGUAGCAAUGUAUGUGUAUUCCUAACUUCCCUAAGAUGAGGAGAUUUUGUGAAGGUAUUUCAAGGCUAGAACUCAGGACUAACCAUUUACAGUACUGUGCCCAUUUGAAAUCCACAUUUAAGUUGAGAGGUAGAUAUUUACUAUGGUAAGUUAAGGGGAACCUCUCUGUCCAGAAGUGCACUUCUGAAUAUCAAAUGUUGUGGAUAACCAAUGGCAGUUCCUUCUGCUUUGCUUGCCUGUGAAAUUUCAGAGGCUGGAUUUCUGCUGGGGAAAAAUGUUAGAUAGGCCUUUGUCUGAUCUAGCAAGGUAAUCCUAACAUUCUUAAUGACUUAAUGACCAUAUUAAGCGCAUUUCACUCAAAAUAAGGAGGGGGGAAAUCCACAUGAUUGUAUUACAGUCCUAUGACCCUAAUGUUUGAUAAUAUCCUUUCACAGUUACAUUGCAUCUGACAAGCAACAUGCAAAUGAAUUGAUUGGUUCUGCUUGCACAAACAUAAUACCACUGGUAGCUACAUUGGUGUGAAAUGGUGGUGCGGUUUAAAGUUCUCUAUCUCUCUGUGUAUGUAGAAGAGAAAGAGAUAAGAAUCCCUCCCAUCUAUAUAACCCUCAAAACUUUAUUUCAUACAAACUGCAGUUUCUAGGUUGCCCAUUGGGGAAGUAGGAUUUAUAAAUACUCUAAAUAAAACCAGCAAGUAAGUGAUGCCAUCAGAUUAUAGCCAUACGUCCUUAUGCACUGAUGUGUGGAUAAAAGAGCUUCCUCAUCUUGAAACUCCUUUCACUUUCAUUUCAGUUGAUGAAGCGGAUUCAGAUGAAUGUUCCUUUGUGCUCUCUGAUCACAUUCAGAAAAAACCUCAUGUGUGCAUUAGAAACCAUGUGGUACUACAGAUGAGAGCAAUGAACUACAAUCCUAUACCCUCUUACAUGCACGUAGACUCGCUGAAACAAGGCACAGACAAAUGCCUCAGUUUGAAAGGGGAUUAAGUGGUUGAAGAAUUGUAGUCUAAAUGUGUGAUGGGCUGUUAUUUAAAGCUGCAGCAUCCUUGCUCCUGGAACAUAUAAUAUUAGUGGUUGAGAAAAUUGUGGUUGGGUUGUAAAAUAACUGCAGCUUCUUAGAGAGAUGGCAUUUAAAAACAAAUAAAUAGUAAUAUUUUUAUUGCUUUUGAAGAUGCCAUUAUAUAGACUUUCUAAACCUGACCUUCAGCAAAUGCAUUCAAGGAACUGAAUAUUUAACCAAACAAACCCAAACAAAAAGCAGAUGACCCAGAUAUAGAAAGUCUGACAGGGGAAAGUUCUUUCAUGUCCAGAAAUGUAGGGUCUGUUAAUAUAAGCAUCAACAUUUCUUAAGAAUUCCCUGUGCAUCUUUUCUACAGUCUAUAACCUACAUCAGUGGGUUAAACAGAACAGUCAGAAAUCCCAGACUAUAGGAUUGAAAGGGAUUAAAAAGAGUGAACCUACAGUACUUUUAUUGACCUAGGUCCUCACAUUAACCUGAUCUGAUCCUAUAAUUACUCUGAAUAGAAUAGGGCUUACAGUCCUCCUUAAUAACACCCCAUGCUUUUUAUUCUAUAAAGAGCUUUUCCAUUCAUGUGGCCCCUUCUUUUGAGAUAUACAGAUCUGUUGGUAAGAAAGAAUAUGUGUGUGGCUUUUCUGCCUCUCCAGGGGAGAAAACUACCUAAUGUGGUGUCUAGCAUGCUUGCCUGCACAUAUGGUACAAAUAUUACAUACAC